rnacentral:rRNA from 1 species
AUUGAACGCUGGCGGCAUGCCUAACACAUGCAAGUCGAACGCGUCGCGGACGGGUGUGUAAUGUCUGGGACACUGCCUGAAGGAUGGGGCUAACUACUGGAACCGGUAGCUAUUACCGCUAACCAUUCGAUGUGCCCUGGUGGUAUGCGCUUGUUGGUGGGGUAACGGCUCACCAAGGCCACGAUCCCUAGCUGGUCUGAGAGGAUGACCUGCCACACUGGAACUGAGACACGGCCCAGACUCCUACGGGAGGCAGCAGUAGGGAAUAUUGCGCAAUGGGCGAAAGCCUGAUGCAGCAAUGCCGCGUGUGUGAAGAAGGCCUUCGGGUUGUAAAGCUCUGUUAUCAGGGAAGCGGUACCUAAAGAGGAAGCACCGGCUAACUACGUGCCAGCAGCCGCGGUAAUAC